UACGUAGGUGGCAAGCGUUGUUCGGAAUUACUGGGCGUAAAGCGCACGUAGGCGGAUUGUUAAGUUAGGGGUGAAAUCCCAGGGCUCAACCCUGGAACUGCCUUUAAUACUGGCAAUCUAGAGUCCGAGAGAGGUGAGUGGAAUUCCGAGUGUAGAGGUGAAAUUCGUAGAUAUUCGGAGGAACACCAGUGGCGAAGGCGAGUCCCUGGACAACUUCUGACGCUGAGGCACGAAAGCUAGGGGAGCAAACAGG
rnacentral:rRNA from 1 species